UCACCGUUGGUGAACCAGCGGAGGGAUCAUUACAGGACUCGCAAGACUCCUACAACCCUGUGAACUUAACUAUAAGCACGUUGCUUCGGCGGGUGUCUCGGAGGGGGUUCUCCCUCCCCGAGACGCUAAACCCGCCGGCAGCCUACUAUACUCUGUCUCUUUGCGUUGGCAUCUCGAGUACAAUCAAACAAGUUAAAACUUUCAACAACGGAUCUCUUGGUUCUG
rnacentral:misc_RNA from 1 species